rnacentral:rRNA from 1 species
UACAGAGGCGGCAAGCGUUGUUCGGAAUUAUUGGGCGUAAAGAGCACGUAGGCGGCUGUGUAAGUCGGUUGUGAAAGCCUUCCGCUCAACGGAAGAACGGCAGCCGAUACUGCAUGGCUUGAGUGCGGGAGGGGAGAGUGGAACUUCUGGUGGAGCGGUGAAAUGCGUAGAUAUCAGAAGGAACGCCGGCGGCGAAAGCGGCUCUCUGGCCCGUAACUGACGCUGAGUGUGCGAAAGCUAGGGGAGCAAACGGG